GUUCGUCUUCAGGGGCAGGGUGAAAUUCCCGACCGGUGGUUAUAGUCCACGACCUACUUCUUUUGAAGUAGUUGAAUUGGUGAAAAUCCAAUACCGACAGUAAAGUCUGGAUAAAGAAGAUAGGG
rfam:Enterococcus sp. 9D6_DIV0238 scaffold00001, whole genome shotgun sequence.